rnacentral:rRNA from 1 species
CUGGCUCAGGAUGAACGCUAGCGGCAGGCCUAACACAUGCAAGUCGCGGGGCAGCACGGGUAGCAAUACCUGGUGGCGACCGGCGCACGGGUGCGUAACGCGUAUGCAACCUGCCCCCAUCAGGGGAAUAGCCCGCCGAAAGGCGGAUUAAUGGCCCCAUAGGCCCAGGGCGCCGCAUGGCGCUAUGGGUAAAGCUCCGGCGGAUGGGGAUGGGCAUGCGUGCCAUUAGCUAGUUGGGGCGGUAACGGCGCACCAAGGCGACGAUGGCUAGGGGGUCUGAGAGGAUGGUCCCCCACACUGGUACUGAGACACGGACCAGACUCCUACGGGAGGCAGCAGUGAGGAAUAUUGGUCAAUGGGCGGAAGCCUGAACCAGCCAUGCCGCGUGCAGGAUGACGGCCCUACGGGUUGUAAACUGCUUUUCCCCGGGAAGAAUAAGCCCCUCGUGAGGGGUGAUGCCGGUACCGGGGGAAUAAGGAUCGGCUAACUCCGUGCCAGCAGCGGC